rnacentral:lncRNA from 1 species
GAUCUUUUACACAGUGUCAUGCUUUACUUCUCAUUAGCUCUACUGCUCUCAUCAUCCUCUGAAGCUACUGAUACAACCUUCUCUAGAAAUUCAGCCCUGUGGCUCACCUACAAAUCUCCUCCUCCCCCAUUUCACAACAAGCACAAAUCUCCACCACCACCACCUCACAAGUACAAAUCUCCACCACCUCCACAUCAUAAAUGCAAGUAUAGUCCUCCACCUCCUGUAUAUACCUACAGAUCACCACCUCCACCAACCCCUAUGCACCACAAGUCACCACCACCAUCACCUCAUAUGUUUAAGUCUCCACCUCCUCCUCCUUACAGAUAUAUAUCACCGCCACCACCACCGCCACAUCCUCCUUGUCAUGCUUACAAAUACUUGUCACCCCCACCUCCACCAAGCUACAAGUACGCAUCUCCUCCGCCACCAAAGCACCACCACCAUCACAAACAUAAAUGGAGCCCUUACCCUUUUAUUACUUAUAUGUCGCCGCCGCCGCCACACCAUAACUACCCAGAUUAUCACUACAGUUCACCGCCACCGCCACCGCCUAUCGUCGCUUAUUAAUUAGAUUCGUGCGUAUGUAUGUCAGAACUGGUAUAGAUUAGUGCAGUGGUAGUAGUAAAGUCUCCUGAUCAGCAAUGAUAGGUUUGGCUUCCUUUGUCACUGUCGUUUCCACUCCUCGUGUCCCACUAUGAACUUAUGUGUCAUGUAAUGCAAGCUAGUUUAUAUCACUUGUUAUUUGGAAGUGAAGUGUUAGCAAAUGUACAAGUAUUGUUUUUAGUAGCGUAGCAAGAUGGUAAAAGAUUUGAGAUCUGUACAGUAGAUUUCGAGUUUGAGUCAGAGUAUGUAAUUUUUAUAAAAACCUGGAAUAGCCGGAGUUUUAUUCGUUCACCUGGAUUCUCAAAAUAUAUUUUCUGAAAAGUGAAGUUUCC